GUGUCAGCCGCCGCGGUAAUACGUAGGGUGCGAGCGUUGUCCGGAAUUACUGGGCGUAAAGAGCUCGUAGGCGGUUUGUCGCGUCGUCUGUGAAAUUCUGCAGCUUAACUGUAGGCGUGCAGGCGAUACGGGCAGACUUGAGUACUACAGGGGAGACUGGAAUUCCUGGUGUAGCGGUGAAAUGCGCAGAUAUCAGGAGGAACACCGGUGGCGAAGGCGGGUCUCUGGGUAGUAACUGACGCUGAGGAGCGAAAGCGUGGGUAGCGAACAGGAUUAGAUACCCUGGUAGUCCACGCCGUAAACGGUGGGUACUAGGUGUGGGUUCCUUUUCACGGGAUCCGUGCCGUAGCUAACGCAUUAAGUACCCCGCCUGGGGAGUACGGCCGCAAGGCUAAAACUCAAAGGAAUUGGCGG
rnacentral:rRNA from 1 species